AAAGUCGUAACAAGGUUUCCGUAGGUGAACCUGCGGAAGGAUCAUUAACACGUAUCCAACGUUAAAAACCCCCCGUGAACCUUUAUUCCGCUCCUCUAGAUCCUUCGUUAAUGGUUGUUAAUAAAGGCAAUUCCUGGUGAUUAAUCAUCGGGAACCUCCGUUAUUCUCAGUUAUUCUCGAGCUUCUCCUGAUCGAGCGCGUUCAAAUGGGCCGGCAUUCCUCUGCUUGUUAGUGUCUGACAUUGUCACUAGCGUAGUACGAAUGGCGCAGUAACGAUCGCUAGAGGCCGACACGGCCGGCGUCCGGCCAGUGGGACUUGUCCCUCCUAUCACAAACUUUGCAUGGACCGAGGUGCGCCACGGCAGCACCGCCCAACUUGAACAACUGUUAACAAUGGAUAUCUUGGUUCUC
rnacentral:misc_RNA from 1 species